rnacentral:rRNA from 1 species
ACAUCUCUUCGGAGCAUUUUACGAGGUGCUGCAUGGUUGUCGUCAGCUCGUGCCGUGAGGUGUCGGGUUAAGUCCCAUAACGAGCGCAACCCCUACCUUUAGUUGCCAUCAGGUUAAGCUGGGGACUCUAAAGGAACUGCCUACGCAAGUAGUGAGGAAGGCGGGGAUGACGUCAAAUCAGCACGGCCCUUACGUCCAGGGCUACACACGUGCUACAAUGGCCGAUACAGAGGGCAGCUACCUGGUGACAGGAUGCAAAUCUCCAAAGUCGGUCUCAGUUCGGAUCGGAGUCUGCAACCCGACUCCGUGAAGUUGGAUUCGCUAGUAAUCGCGCAUCAGCCAUGGCGCGGUGAAUACGUUCCCGGGCCUU